AUGGCCACCGCCACGAUCCUAUUCGGCGCCAACGACAUAUCCAUGCUCGACCGAGAGCGUGUUUCAGCACGCCCCGUCGACGAUCACGAAGCAAAGUUUGUUGCACAAUGUCAUAAGAACCAGGGGACUGGUGACCUUUGCUUCACCAAGGGCUUCUCUGCGGCCAUCCAGGGCCAGUGUGUAGAUGGAGACGGCAACAACGAGGUGGCUGCUAGGGGUAGCGGCGGCACUGGCGAGGACGUCUACCGGCAGCAACAACAUCCCCUCUCCCAUCAGCAGCUAUGCCACAAUUCUACUCGAGAAUUGAAACAAUAUUGA
rnacentral:rRNA from 1 species